GUUUAAAACCACUACUUGUUUCAAUUUUUGACCCAACUUCGUCGGAGCACAAUGGCUCCGAAAAUACUAUUUCUUUUCAUCAUACAAGCGCUUAUUUUUAAGGUAUUCUCGUCCCAAGUGCAGCCAACACCCAAACAAUACAUAAUAACAAUGCCCCAGUCACAACUGUCAAGUCUACAAUCCGUUGUACCUUCACCGACUAAACCUACAAAUAAUCUUUCAGCUUUGGCUUCAUUAGCCAGUAUUUUAAGUUCAGGAUCAUCAAAUUCCUUGCCUUCUUUAGUAACUACAGGUUCACCAUCACAGUCUUUAUCUUCUUUAUUAACAACUGCUACAGCGUCGUCUUCUUUACCAUCUUUAAUGGCUGCAACACCAACGAACCAUGUGACUCCACCUGUGUCAAUGCCAACACCAGAAAAACCACAAUCUAGCAGCGUAGACAUGGAAUUGCUAAACAAUCUUGCUAUAGCAUUGCAGUUGAUGAUCGUCAAUAAUAUUCUAUCAACAUCACCGGCGGAAACACCACCGCCAAGUCCUGAAACAACGCAAAGUGUUCCGUCAUUUGAAUCGGUAGAAAAUCUAUCUUAUGCUCCGAUUCAAAACGAUUUACCAACAAUAGCGAAUCAGUAUCAAAAUUACCAGCCGAAUUACGAACAACAAUCUUUUAAUCACAUGCCUAAUGCGAACUUCGUUGGGUCAGCAGGAUUUGCUGAUACGAAUCCCUUUAUGGGUACAGUGCCCCCUCCUUCUCCAAGUAGAUCGGGAUUGACACUGAUGUCUCCAUACGAAGCAUUGUCACCAAAUUCUCCGUAUUUAGAUCCUAUUUUGUCAUCGCCCUACGGAUCGGUCAUGUCUUCGAAGAAAGAUUUUCAGUCCCCUUACGCGACCAUUUUGGGAUCAGACAAAGAUUACUUCUCUAUGAGUUCGAUUAACGAUUUGUUUUAAAAUGUGUUAACUCGAUGUUUCAAUGUUUAGUUUAAGUUAAUAAAUAUGAUUUGUUACAUUAUAUA